rnacentral:tRNA from 1 species
AUUUAAAUAGCUUAAAAAAAGUUUAAUAAUGAAAAUAUUAAGAUAAUUAAUUUAAUUUUUAAAUU